rnacentral:lncRNA from 1 species
GUUCUAAUCGCCCACUGCCUCGCUAAAAGGAAAUAACUUUUGUGGGAUAUCCUUAAAUUAACUUUUGGAUAUCGCUUCUAUAAACCAACUAACAAAUGUUGUUUUGUUGAGUAGUUCAUUGUAAUCCUACAAUGUGAUUUGCCUAAAAGCAAAUAAACGAGAGAUAGAACUCAAAGAAUGGGUUCUUUGAGAGACAAGAAAGUAAUCAACAAAUAUAAACAACCUAGUUCCUAUACCAAAAGCUCCAAGGUAGUCGAGAAGGAUUGAUAAACCGUCUCAGUUGAAUGGUUUGAACUUUAUGACUAUGUCAUAGAGAUGCACCUCUUAAUUCGAAAGAACUAAGAAUGAAAAUCCUUAUGACUACACUGAGUGUAUAUAUAUGAUAUAUACUCAAGGAAAUGGUAAAGUACCAUUUGACCCGAAAUAAUGAAACCUUCAUAAGCUAAUUGGUAGCUUAAGGUGACUACAAUCAAAGAGAAUGGUUGACUUUGAAGAAACCAUCUUUGAGAUAGUCUUGGUAUCAAUUAAUUCGAAGAUUGCUAGCUACAACUAAAUGGUGAUUCAAUGUUUGGACAUAAUAUGGGUUUCCGAAACCAUUAUUAAGAUAGUCUUAAUAAUAUAUGUCUAAAACUAUGAAUCACAAGACAUAUAAGUUGUAGAGAUCCAACCAUCAUGAAUCUUAGCAAGCUAGUGGGAGCUAUAAGCAUUUUAUGAGAAAAAGGAUCAAAUCGUUUGAUUUCUCAUAAAGAUGUAAAUGAAUCUUUUGUUUACUAGGUUUACAAAAGAUUAGUGGGAGUUAAUCAUGUUCCUAAAAUUUAAAUAUAUAUAUAUGAUAUAUAUAUUAAUUUUGGAAAUGAAAAGAAUACUUCUUCGUUAAAGUUAUGACUUUAAACAUUCUAUAACGAUAGAAUGUAUAUGGGAGACAUAAUCUAUAUACAUGGGAUGGAAAUCUAUAAUGAUAGAUUUUUAGGAUAUAAUUGGAUUAUAUCAAUUCCUAAUAAUAGACAAAAGAUGAUAGGGAGUUUCUCAUAUGAUGAUGAACUUCAAUCAAAAGGACAACUCUAGUGAGACUAAGAAGUUGCUCUUCUCAAAGAGAACGUACUCUUUGACUCCCAAAGAAAUAAUGCGUAAAUAGAAUCCUUUAUGCAUACGCAGAAAAGUGAUUUAUGUAUUUCAUAUUGUAUGAAAAACAUUGAUAUGAGUUGUACCUAGAACGGUACAAGACGAUAUCAGUGCAAGCCCAGGAUCAGAACCAUGGCAACUGUCAAGUAAGUCCUUAAGUAUUUAAGAAAUACUAAAGGAUAAAUUCCUCAAAGAUCGAGGAAGAAUUUGAGUAACGUAAUGGAAGCGUAAAUGUAUUAGAUUAUGAAUCUAAUCCAUCAUUGGAUGUUUCUUCAUUAUGAAUGAAGAGAUAAACAGAUAUCUCUUUGUUAUGACUAAAGAGAUAUUUGGAUGGAAACAUUAAAGUAAUGACUUUAGUGUGUUCCAUUAUGAAUGCAAAAUAUAUUGCCAUAUAGAAGUUUGCAACAAUGUUGUUUGGUUGGGAAAGUUCAUUAUGAACUCUCUAUUCGGUUCCAACCAAAAAGUGUUUGACACUAAUGGGGCGAUAGCUCAAGCCAGGGAAUCAAGGUCUCAUCAAGGUCCGAACUCAAAUGAGAGACUGAACCACAUGAUUGAGAAUCAUGUAUAAUGGUGACGUCGUUAUUCUCAAGGUUGCUUCUAUGGAUAACAUAUAGAUAUCCAUUGUCUAGGCCUACUACUCAGCCAUUUAUGAAAUGACUACAGAAGAGGUAUCAUCAUGAUGACCAAGCUGAUUGGCUCUAGUGCAAGUGGGAGAUUGUUAGAAAUGUGCCCUAAAACCAAUCAUAUGAUGAUACUUGACGGACAUUUCACAUGUUAAACUAAUCUAGUUUAACUAUAAAGGGCAAAGAUUAUUGUUUGAGCCGUCUCAUAUAAAUGUUAUAUGCUUAAACGAUAAAGUCCAAGGAAUAUGUGAUUGGGAGAAUGGAAUCUAAAGAUGUUAGAUUCAUGAGAAAUUCUUUCGUAGACACAUCCUAAACGUUCCUGAUCAUAGGAUUGCCAAUUGGGCAUUGAUAGUCCGUUAAGAUCAGUACGUGCUGUGUCUUCUUUCAGGGAGAGUGACUAGUCUCGAGUCAUUGGUGUGUGUGACAUCAAGACAAGUACGUAGGUGCUCAAUAGAG